rnacentral:lncRNA from 1 species
AUUGGAAAGUUUUUUUGGCCCCGGAGAGGGUGUCAGAUUGAAUGCUCUGUGCGCAUGUGCGAAGGUGUCCAAACUGACAAUGCUUGGGAGAUGAAGAUAGCGCGGCAGAGCUGUUGCGGGUUCAAGGAGGGAUCCGCUCCGCCGUCAAGAUGAGAUCCAAGGCGCGAGCGAGGAAACUGCCCAAAAGUAGGUCCCCUUUCUCCCGCGAGGGGGAGAUCCCCGGCGAGAUCUGGCGAGGGGGGUGAGAGAGAGAGGGAGAGAGAGAGGGGGGCGCGCGCUGAGCAGAGGUGGGGGGGGGGGAGCCAUGGGUGUCUGGCUGGUCGGCCCUGGGGUGGGGGGACGACAACGACGAAGACGAGCCGAUCGCCGCCUCCUCGGCCGCCCUGGCCUCGCCGCGGCCGGAUGAGCGCAGCUGGGCGAGCCGGGAGCGAGCUCCGCGCCGCCACAGCCGCCGUCGCCGGUCUCUGCGCGACGAUCGGGGCAGCCUGGCCAAGGCUCCCCCCGCCUCUCCUUGCGCUCCGAGAGUUGUGCUCCGCACCCCGCGAUUGGUGGGGUUCACCCGUCUGAGGAUCUCGAAGCGAUCAAGGAUGACAAGGAGGAGGAAGGAGGGGGAUCGUUUUUUAAAAAAAUGAAAAGUAGGGGGGACACAGGGAGAGCUAACGAGAGCGAAGCGAAAGUUAGCUACAAAGUUGAAGCCUGCAACUUUUUCUCUCUCCCUUUCCCUCCUCCUCUCUCCUCUUCGCCGAGUCGUUUCCAAGUUCUUGUGAAAUCUUUUUUUUUUUUUUUAGUUCCCAGCUUUUGAAAUAUAGUGGGCGCUAGAGAUUCGCGGCUGGGAAGGCAAAGCGAGGUUUCCCGAGUAGAUGGGGAGCUUGAGAGAGAGAGAGAGAGAGAGAGAGAGAGAGAGAGAGAAGACCGUGGAAAAGAGAGAAGGGGAGAGAGAGAAAAAGGAGGCAAGGGGGGGAAGAGAGAGAGAGAGAGAAAUAUAUAUAUUUAUAAAACCAACCAGGCGAAGAGAGAGAGAGAGAUUUGGAUGGAAAGAGGCAGAGAAACUGGAACCCCAAAUGCAGCUUGGCGUUAUAGAUAUGUGUGUGUGUAUGUGUAUCUAUCUAGAUAUACGCAGUGAAACUGACACGAGGUGAAAUGGACAAGUUCCUGGAGCUCUGGCGGUUGUCGUGUUUUGAAAGUGAGCGAUGGUGGGGUUCCUGCAUGCGCCCUGUUGCAGGAGCAGUUUCUGUCCCCGAUUCUCGCGCGCACGCUUGGAAAAGGGAGGGGGAUGUAGAAAGUUUGCAAAUAUAUUCGUGUCUCCUUCCUCUCUCCCCCCUCAAUUUCUCGAUCCCUCGUUGCCGGGGGCGGAGAGGGGGGGAGUGGAGGAGGAGAGAGAACCCUCAUCCUUCUCCAACGCUUGUCAUCGGUUACCAAUGAAAUAUUAAAAGAUGGCAAUGAGAAAAGAGGGUGGGCGGAUGAGAAAGAGGGGGGGCAGGUUGUUUGCUGCGCGAUCUAAGAUACUUUAGCUGUCAAAUGACGAUAGAUCUUCCCCCCGCCCCAUCUCCCACUUUCAGGAUUUUUGUAGCAAAAAUAAUAUAAGUUGUUUCUGCGUUGUUGCUGCUCUUUUAAACUCCGAAGUUAACACCGCGUGCAUUUCAGUCUGGCAGAUAUUUUUUCAUUGUUUUGUCUGGAAAAGCGGGAGGGUCUAUUUUGUGUUUUUACAAUCGCUGUUGUCUGUCUUGAUUUUUUUUGUUUUAAUCUUAAUUAUCAUUUGGAAACGGUCUGUUUUGUUUUGUUCCCCCGCCCCUCGUUGAGUUCCAUGCUGAAACCGGACGCGAGAUUGUGGCUGGUUGAGGUGGAGGCGUGCGCGCGGGUGGCUGGGGAGGGGGGGGGGAGGAAUGCCGUAAAGCUGUAAAAAUAAAAUACCUGUAAAUAUAUUUGCAAAUAUAAGGUGACGGAAAGCUAUCCAGGGGAAGUUGGGAGCUGGCGCUUUAAUCCUGAAUACAUUUAAAUACUUUAAAAAAAGGGGAAGGGAGUCUGUCUCUCUACUCCGAAAUACGUUUACUCGGUAGUGAAAGUUCUAAUGGAUUUUCAACCAUGAACAGUUUGCGCCAGGAGAUUUCGAAAGCUCACCUAAGUUUUGAUUCUCUCGAGAGAGCGAGGAUCUGAAACUCCUGCCUUUAAGUCUUUGUGUGUGCGUGUUAGUUGUGUUGCCGAUCGUUACAAAACUCCAGCGGAUUUCCACCGCCGUCCCCGAGACAAGUUAAGAACGCGCGACCCUCUCCUGCCUUUACGAUUCAAGUCCCCGAUUCCGGACACCCCCUCCAGACUCAGUUCAAGGUCAAGGCGCCCCCCGUUCUGAAUCCUUCCUCCUUCCAGUCCCCUGCAUGCUCCUCUCCAGAUCACCCCGAAGGAAACAAGUGGAGAUAGAGAUUUGCAACGCCGAAUGUCUCACACUUAAUGCAAUUCCAAUAAGUGAGAUCGCAGCCCUAAUGGACAGAAGCACGUUUCCUGCGGUUUUAAUGGAGCGGUCCCCUCCGCUCCAGGCAGGAUCUGUCCAACACCAACUUUCAAACUCGCAUGAUUCAGUCUCUACUUUUUCGGAAGGGCGAGAGUUC